GACGAACGCUGGCGGCGUGCUUAACACAUGCAAGUCGAACGAUGAAGCCGGAGCUUGCUCCGGUGAAUUAGUGGCGAACGGGUGAGUAACACGUGAGUAACCUGCCCUUGACUCUGGGAUAACUGCGGGAAACUGUAGCUAAUACCGGAUACGACCCUCGGAGGCAUCUCCUGGGGGUGGAAAGAAUUUCGGUCAAGGAUGGACUCGCGGCCUAUCAGCUAGUUGGUGAGGUAAAGGCUCACCAAGGCGACGACGGGUAGCCGGCCUGAGAGGGUGACCGGCCACACUGGGACUGGGACACGGCCCAGACUCCUACGGGAGGCAGCAGUGGGGAAUAUUGCACAAUGGGCGCAAGCCUGAUGCAGCAACGCCGCGUGAGGGAUGACGGCCUUCGGGUUGUAAACCUCUUUCAGUAGGGACGAAGCGAAAGUGACGGUACCUAAAGAAGAAGCACCGGCUAACUACGUGCCAGCCGCCGCCGUAA
rnacentral:rRNA from 1 species